rnacentral:rRNA from 1 species
AUUGAACGCUGGCGGCAGGCCUAACACAUGCAAGUCGAACGAGUGGCGGACGGGUGAGUAAUGUCUGGGAAACUGCAUGAUGGAGGGGGAUAACUACUGGAAACGGUAGCUAAUACCGCAUACCAUCGGAUGUGCCCAGCUGGGAUUAGCUAGUAGGUGGGGUAAAGGCUCACCUGGGCGACGAUCCCUAGCUGGUCUGAAGGGAUGACCAGCCACACUGGAACUGAGACACGGUCCAGACCCCUACGGGAGGCAGCAGUGGGGAUUAUUGCACACUGGGCGCAAGCCUGAUGCAGCCAUUCCGCUUGUAUGAAGAAGGCCUUCGGGUUGUAAAGUACUUUCAGCGGGGAGGCGUUACCCGCAGAAGAAGCACCGGCUAACUCCGUGCCAGCAGCCGCGGUAAUUC